rnacentral:rRNA from 1 species
UCCUGGCUCAGAUUGAACGCUGGCGGCAUGCUUUACACAUGCAAGUCGAACGGCAGCACGAAAGAGCUUGCUCUUUUGGUGGCGAGUGGCGAACGGGUGAGUAAUACAUUGGAACGUACCGAGUAAUGGGGGAUAACUGUCCGAAAGGAUGGCUAAUACCGCAUACGCUCUGAGGAGGAAAGCGGGGGACCUUCGGGCCUCGCGUUAUUCGAGCGGCCAAUGUCUGAUUAGCUAGUUGGUGGGGUAAAGGCCUACCAAGGCGACGAUCAGUAGUGGGUCUGAGAGGAUGAUCCGCCACACUGGGACUGAGACACGGCCCAGACUCCUACGGGAGGCAGCAGUGGGGAAUUUUGGACAAUGGGCGAAAGCCUGAUCCAGCCAUGCCGCGUGUCUGAAGAAGGCCUUCGGGUUGUAAAGGACUUUUGUCAGGGAAGAAAGGGUUUGGGUUAAUACCCUGAGCUUA